UAUGUGUGUGUGUGUGUGUGUGAUCGUGAGUUGAAGCCAGGAGAAGCCAACCCCUCAAAACCCUAAACAUCUAAAAUUCCAUCAAUUGAAAGUGAAAUUAGCAAGGAAUCGAAUGCAUGAGCUAGGAAUUUUGAUUUACUAAGUGUUCUUAACCUCAAGAACUAAGAAGGAAGAAGGGGCAAGUCACUUCAAAGCGCAAGGAAAUCAGGAUCACAGUAAAUCCCAAGUUUAGAUGUGGCGCACUCGGACCGAACACAGACACACACGCAACGUCGACCUUAUGCGCUUCUGGUCCAAUUUGUUUAUUUUGAAUGGGUUAAUUUACCAUUUUGUGUAGUAAAUGUUAAUUAGUAAGUGUCUAGUAUGUUAGUAAGAAGUUUGGAUUCUAAAUCUUUUGUGUAGUUUGUACAAAAUGUUCACAACGAACCUUUUAUGGUCUUAACUUUUGUUAUGUUGGAAAGUGUCGUAGUAUUUAAUUAAAAUGAUAUUGUUAAAGCAGGGAGAAAAGUUCGUAAUAUGAACGGGUCAUGUCAAAAAUUUUGAAAAAUUGUAAGAAUUUUAUGUUAUUAUUCGAAUGAGUAAAAAUUUGGGCGUUUCAGUAA